rnacentral:rRNA from 1 species
ACUACGGGGUGCAGCAGUGAGGAAUAUUGGUCAAUGGACGAGAGUCUGAACCAGCUAAGUAGCGUGAAGGAUGACUGCCCUAUGGGUUGUAAACUUCUUUUAUAAAGGAAUAAAACGAGGCACGUGUGCCUUUUUGCAUGUACUUUAUGAAUAAGGAUCGGCGAACUCCGGUCCAGCAGCCGCGGUAAUUCGGAGGAUCCGGGCGUUAUCCGGAUUUAGUGGGGUUAAAGGGAAGGUAGAUGGGGUGUUAAGUCAGUUGUGAAAGUUUGCGGUUCAACCGUAAAAUUGCAAUUGAUACUGGCAGGCUUGAGUACAGUGGAGGUAGGCGGAAUUCGUGGUGUAGCGGUGAAAUGCUUAGAUAUCACGAAGAACCCCGAUUGCGAAGGCAGCUUACUAAACUGUGACUGACAUUGAUGCUCGAAAGUGUGGGUAUCAAACAGGAUUAGAUACCCGAGUAGUC